rnacentral:rRNA from 1 species
GGAUUGGUGCCUUCGGAACUCUGACACGAGGUGCUGCAUGGCUGUCGUCAGCUCGUGUCGUGAGAUUGUUAGGGUUAAGUCCCGUAACGAGCGCAACCCUUGUCCUUAGUUACCAGCACGUUAUGGUGGGCACUCUAAGGAGACUGCCGGUGACAAACCGGAGGAAGGUGGGGAUGACGUCAAGUCAUCAUGGCCCUUACGGCCUGGGCUACACACGUGCUACAAUGGUCGGUACAAAGGGUUGCCAAGCCGCGAGGUGGAGCUAAUCCCAUAAAACCGAUCGUAGUCCGGAUCGCAGUCUGCAACUCGACUGCGUGAAGUCGGAAUCGCUAGUAAUCGUGAAUCAGAAUGUCACGGUGAAUACGUUCCCGGGCCUU